rnacentral:rRNA from 1 species
UACGUAGGUGGCAAGCGUUGUCCGGAAUUAUUGGGCGUAAAGCGCGCGCAGGCGGUCCUUUAAGUCUGAUGUGAAAGCCCACGGCUUAACCGUGGAAGUGCAUGGGAAACUGCAGUGCUUGAGUACUUAAGAGGAUCGCGGAAUUCCCGGUGUAGAGGUGAAAUUCGUAGAUAUCGGGAGGAACACCAGUGGCGAAGGCGGCGAUCUGGGAAGAUACUGACGCUGAGGUGCGAAAGCGUGGGGAGCAAACAGG